rnacentral:rRNA from 1 species
ACAACACUGGGGCAACCCAGCACGUCAGACGAUAGUGCAGAUGAUUAGCACGACGCCAGAUUGCCAAUCCCCUCGCCGUCGAGGGAUUGGUCGAACACCACUACAACCUUGCACGGUAUCGAUUUUAAACCCCAGAUAUUCACGUACGCGCAUGUCGCACCGGCUCCAUUGCCUGGUGGCUAUAGCGUCGGUGUCCCACCCGAUCCCAUUCCGAACUCGGCCGUGAAACCCGACUGCGCCAAUGGUACUAUCGCUCAAGCGAUGGAAGAGUAGGUCGUCGCCAGGC